rnacentral:tRNA from 1 species
GCGGGGUUAAUUUAAUGGUAAAAUAGUGUUUUGAUAAAGCACAGUUAUAGGUUCGAUUCCUGUACCCCGUACCA